UUUCGGUUGAUCCUGCCGGACCUGACUGCUAUCGGAUUGAUACUAAGCCAUGCGAGUCAUUGUAGCAAUACAAGGCAGACGGCUCAGUAACGCGUAGUCAACCUAACCUAUGGACGGGAAUAACCUCGGGAAACUGAGAAUAAUGCCCGAUAGAACACUAUGCCUGGAAUGGUUUGUGUUCCAAAUGAUUUAUCGCCGUAGGAUGGGACUGCGGCCUAUCAGUUUGUUGGUGAGGUAAUGGCCCACCAAGACUAUUACAGGUACGGGCUCUGAGAGGAGUAGCCCGGAGAUGGGUACUGAGACACGGACCCAGGCCCUAUGAGGCGCAGCAGGCGAGAAAACUUUGCAAUGUGCGAAAGCACGACAAGGUUAAUCCGAGUGGUUUGUGCUAAACAGACCUUUUGUUAGUCCUAGAAACACUAACGAAUAAGGGGUGGGCAAGUUCUGGUGUCAGCCGCCGCGGUAAAACCAGCACCUCAAGUGGUCAGGAUGAUUAUUGGGCCUAAAGCAUCCGUAGCCGGCUCUGUAAGUUUUCGGUUAAAUCUGUAUGCUCAACAUACAGGCUGCCGGGAAUACUGCAGAGCUAGGGAGUGGGAGAGGUAGACGGUACUCGGUAGGAAGGGGUAAAAUCCUUUGAUCUAUUGAUGACCACCUGUGGCGAAGGCGGUCUACCAGAACACGUCCGACGGUGAGGGAUGAAAGCUGGGGGAGCAAACCGGAUUAGAUACCCGGGUAGUCCCAGCUGUAAACUAUGCAAACUCGGUGAUGCAUUGGCUUGAUGCCAAUGCAGUGCCGCAGGGAAGCCGUUAAGUUUGCCGCCUGGGAAGUACGUACGCAAGUAUGAAACUUAAAGGAAUUGGCGGGGGAGCACCACAAGGGUGAAGCCUGCGGUUCAAUUGGAUUCAACGCCGGAA
rnacentral:rRNA from 1 species